AUACGGCCAUAUCACGUUGAAACAUUAGUUCUCAUAUGAUUUACGAAGUUAAGCAACGUUAAGCCUGGUCAGUACCUAGAUGGGUGACCGCUUGGGAAUACCAGGCGCUGUCAG